rnacentral:rRNA from 1 species
GGGGCCCCGCGCCCCGGAAAGGCGGGGAUAACCACGUGCCGGCGGGCGCGAUAAGACGUAGGUGGAAAGCGUUGUCCGGAUUUAUUGGGCGUAAAGCGAGCGCUUGCGGUUCUUUAAGUCUGAUGUGAAAGCCCCCGGCCCAACCGGGGAGGGCCAUUGGAAACUGGAAAACUUGAGUGCCCAACAGGAGAGUGGAAUUCCACGUGUAGCGGAGAAAUGCGUAAAUAUGUGGAGGAACACCAUUGGGGAAGGCGACUCUCUGGUCUGUAACUGACGCUGAGGCUCGAAAGCGUGGGGAGCAAACAGGAUUAGAUACCCUGGUAGUCCACUCCGUAACCUAUGAGUGCUAAGUGUUGGAGGGUUUCCGCCCUUCAGUGCUGCAGCUAACGCAUUAAGUACUCCGCCUGGGGAGUACGACCGCAAGGUUGAACACUCAAAGGAAUUGAUGGGAUCACCCACAAGCGGUGGAGCAUGUGCUUAAAUUCCACAAAUCACCAAAACAUCAUAAUGUGCCUAGA